rnacentral:tRNA from 1 species
GAGUGCAUAGCUUAGUUGGGAAAAGCAGUAAACUUUUAAUUUAUCGAUUUUAGGUUCAAGUCCUAAUGCACUCA